UCCUGGCACUCACAACAUGGGGGCCUUUGUCGAUCACCCCCUUCGUCUGCCCUACGGCUUUCUGGUAAUUCCUGGUUGAGAAAUCUAAGUCUAAUGGAACACACAAUGAUUAUGAGUUAAUAUGUGACUUUUAAAGAGGGACUCGAGAUACAUGCAGAAGAGUAAUCCAUAUAAGAAAGCACCUAAUAUGAAAUAUGUCUUAUUUAAUACCUGAUUGCACACACUAUAUAGAGGCCCAGCUUAGAUGGAAGCUUCUACCUGCAAUAUCGCUUCUUGAAAUGAGACAUCAUCUUAUUUAUCUUGUCCUAAAUAAUCAUGACUUGAUUCCUUAUUGUAAGACAUGAAUGCAUUAUUCAAACACUUAUCUCCACGAGUCCAAAAAGUUUUCUGUGAUCCACUUCCAAAAGCAGACCAUGGUUUCCACAUAUUAAUACCUUGAGAGUUGGUUUAUUGGAAAAGACACCAAUAAAAGAUUGUAGUUGAACCUUA